GGCAUUGUAGUUUAUGCAAAACACCGGGUCUGGUAACCCGGAGACUCAGGUUGGAUUCCUGACAAUCGCCA
rnacentral:tRNA from 1 species